UACAGAGGUCCCGAGCGUUGUUCGGAUUCACUGGGCGUAAAGGGUGCGUAGGCGGCUUUGCAAGUCUGAUGUGAAAUCUCCGGGCCCAACCCGGAAAUGGCAUUAGAAACUGUGAGGCUGGAGGCUUGGAGGGGAACUGGAAUACUUGGUGUAGCAGUGAAAUGCGUAGAUAUCAAGUGGAACACCGGUGGCGAAGGCGAGUUCCUGGACAAGACCUGACGCUGAGGCACGAAGCCGGGGAGCAAACAGG
rnacentral:rRNA from 1 species